GGAGUUGAGUGAUUGGCCACGUUCCCUUCAAGUCGCUGUUUCACGUGUCACUACAGGCAGAUCUUGCGUGGCGCUCGGCUGUGCACCAAAUAAUGUGAA
rnacentral:lncRNA from 1 species